rnacentral:sRNA from 1 species
AAAAGAAAGAAAGAAAGAAAGUGUGAUGUGGGUUUUUAAGUUUGUGACUUAGUCAAAAGAUCAAACUAGGCCCACAGUGUUCACCCUAAGACGAUAAAAUGGCAUUUAAUUGUGUUCACUAGACACUAAAUUCAUAACUGACCUUAAAUUCAGGGCAGGGGGGCUGGAUUGGAGUCUCAGAAUGGCUGAGUAGAAAAGAGAAUUUAGCUGUUCAUGGACAAGCAUAGGUUCAGAAGCCUAUAUUCUGCUUUUCUUGGAUAAUAUGGCCACCCCUCUUGUUCACUGUUUCUAUAACUCAUUCCUCACUGCCAUGUUUCUACUCAGCUCUCACCUUAUCAAACUAGUAUAGCAUUCCCAUCAGCCUUUGUCCCUUACUCUGUCUUAUUCUCUAAAACCCUCCUACAUGUUCAUGUGACUGGAUCUCAUGGUCCUUGCCUUAUAAAGAAAGAUUAAUAUAAUUUCGGGAGCAUCAACCACAAUUUUAUAUCUAGCAAAAACAAAUGGGAGCCUUUUGAGGUCAUUUAUUUAUAACACGUACAGCAUAAGCUGUGCUUAUUUCCAUGGUGGCCAAUUUAUUAAAAUAUGCUAUAAACAUGAAUUUUAUUUAUGCUGAUUGUCAGCCAUCCACACAGAAAUGGCAUCUUGGCAAUAAGUCUCCCUUCUGAUAAUGACAUGGAUGCGGUAGCUUACAAGUUAAUAACAGUACAUAAGAUCAAUCUCUUCAAUUAGGCAUAGAGUUUAGAUGUCUAAAUGUCAAUCUACCUUCCUAGAUCAUACUUGAAACUAAACGUCAGUGUCUUGGGGAUUUAUUGCUGUGAAGAGACAACAUGACUAAGAUACAGAUAAAUAACAACUGAGAUGCCUAACUUAGGACAAUGGUUGAAACUGUUCAGGAAAGAAAUUAGAACAGCUUUAAAAUGGAAAAGUAUUUCAUGACCUUCUACAUGCUCUAGCAUCAUACUGGACGGGAGACAUGGUCACAGCUCAUGUGACAUUUAGUUUGAGUAUCUUCUGGAUGCAGGAACUCCCUUCCCCUACACUGGCUGUGGAGCAGUCUGUCCAUUCCUGUUGACUGAGUGCCAUUUGACUCCCACUGGGACUGCGCUAACUCAUGUGGGAAAGGAGACUCAACACUUCUAGCAGAAAUGCCCUCUCUUCUUCUCCUGGAAACCUCGAGACUUGAGCCAGCAAGGCUGAGAGGGAAAGGAGAAAGCCAAGCUGUGUGCAUUGUUGACAGUGUCCAAACAGUUCGGAUGAGAUGAUGCUGAUUACAAGGACUGAAAGAAAGUGGAGAGCCAGGAUCUGGGGGUGGCUGAGAAAAGGAGAAACAAAUGCCUUGUGAAAGUUCCAGAAAGCAGAUAUUGCCUGCUGGGUAUCUUACAUCUGCCCUUCAAGGAGUGCCUUAUCCUACCUGAGGUUAGCCUCUCACGGGGCUCACUGAUGAGCAGGGAAAAUGGAGAGUCUUUAGGAGGGAGGAAAAUCUCAUUUAGAGGAAAUGACCCACUUCCUCUAAAGACACUUGGACAAACAUACCCUUUCGUGUGAACACCCUCUACUUUCCUGGCAGACACAACUCAAAAGUGCAGAUUUCCCAUUCACCUUAUCUUCUUGAACAUUUUAGUCCAUUUCACCUUUCUCCCAAGCCCCUUUUCCCAUGAAAACAUUUUUAGUCUUACAUUUUAGUCUUACAUUAAGUCCAGUGCUUAAGCCCUCUACCGCCCAGAGCCUUGUGCUCCAAAUAGACCUGGUCAAUUUAUUUCAAAUACAGCUGUCAGAACUAAGAAGCCAGCACCCAAAUUCACAGCUACCUCUAACUGCAUCUCACACAACUGAG